CGUGUCGUCAGCUCGUGCCGUGAGGUGUUGGGUUAAGUCCCGCAACGAGCGCAACCCCUAUCUUUAGUUGCCAUCAGUUCGGCUGGGCACUCUAUGGAGACUGCCACCUAAAGUGGAGGAAGGUGGGGAUGACGUCAAGUCAGCAUGGCCCUUACGUCCGGGGCUACACACGUGCUACAAUGGCCGGUACAAAGGGUUGCGAAGCCGUGAGGUGGAGCGAAUCUCAAAAAGCCGGCCUCAGUUCGGAUUGGAGGCUGCAACUCGCCUCCAUGAAGUCGGAAUCGCUAGUAACCGCAGAUCAGCUACGUUGCGGUGAAUACGUUCCCGGGCCUU
rnacentral:rRNA from 1 species